rnacentral:lncRNA from 12 species
GGUUUGAUGGAAAAUCCCUUUGCAUCUUUCACGUUGGAUCCUCUCGCCUGCAAGACGGUUGGUGCUGUCGGCUUUCCAAUUUCCCACGCACACGUGAAGAUGCUCAAGUGCAAGUUGCCACCCGAAGGAGGCUCCUGGGGCAGAGGGAGUGCGAGCUCUCAAGCGGGUGGAGGGCCAGGCCCUGCCACUGAAGAGCUGGGCUGGCUGGGGACACAGCCAGGGAAGAUUCCUAGUGCUGGCUUUGCCGGGCAGGAUGGCAGCGGAUGGCCGGGAAGGGAAAGCCUGGACAGGUCCUGCGGCACGCAGCCAGGGCCCUGUCUGUUAGGCUCCAGCUCCGGCGGAAGAAGGGGCCUGCAGCGUCUGGGUCCCACUGCCCAGGGCUCCGAGCCUGUGGUCGGCUGGUGGCCCAGCUCCCUUCUCCCACCAGGACCACUCAGCCCCAUGUGCGCGCGAGCCAGCCGCUCUGCCUCCUGGAAAGGUGGGCGACAGCAGGGGUGCUCGGGUCAGAAGGAGGGAAGGCUGAGGGGCUGGGCCGGGCCGGGGUGCCACAGCUCCCGCACCUGGGGAGGCAGCCCCGCGGACCCCCGGCUCAUCAUCCCCCUGGGAACCGUCCCUCCAAGGCGUGCAUCCCGAUGGGGUCCCCUCUCACCCUGGCCCUGCGGGACCCCGGCCCAUGCAGCACUGCUGCAAGAGUGCUGCAAGAGUGAACCCCAUUCUGGGCUUUGAGGCCGAGGUAUGUUUUUUUACCUUUCCCCCCUUUGUUCUGUGAUGUUGUUAGGGCUGGUGUGGGUCCCGGCGUCAGGCGAGCAGGUGCACCUGCAGGGGUGGGGGCGGCGGGCCAGAGGGGUGCAGCAUCCCAGUGCCCCGAGAGCGGUGUGGGCUCGGCCAGGUGAGCGGGUCGAUGCACGGGCCAGGGUGUCCCUCCCCGCGCGUACUCAGGCCUGUGUUCUGGAGCAUCCCCGGCCGGAGGUAGCUGACAGGCAGGACGCAGGCCUCCCCAUCCGAUGGGGUGGCGCGGGGUCGCCACCAGCACCCCAGGCCCCAACCCGGCCCCAGACUAAACAGGAGACAGCAAAGGCUGGCUCUGGAAAAGGCCAUUUUUACAUCCUCCUUGUCAGGAUUCCAAGGCGCUGAGACACGAUUUAAAAACAAAAACAAAACAAAACAAAACAAAAAAAAGAAAGGGUAGAAGAAAAAUGCCCCCGCAGAUGAAAAUUGCUCUUCCUACAUUUCUGUGGCGUUAUCCCCCCCAGCCAGCGGUGAGGGGCUGGGUGGUUUCCAGGUGCCCCCCCUUCGGCCCUGUGACGUCAGGCUCAGCAGCAGGGCCUGGGACUCGGGAUUCUUAACGAGCACCCCGGCUGAUUCUUCUGCACCACUCACUGCAGCAGCGGGGAGGGAGGUGCCGGAGACACGGGGAUGUUAGGACACAAGAGAGUUGCCAGCGCAGCAGGGGCACUUCAGUUAGAAAGCCAUGCCCGGUCUUACUCAUCGGGAUGGGCUCCGAGCAAAGCUAAGAGAGAGCUCUUGCUGGAAGAUGGGUCGUCGGAUGGGACCGUGGAAUUUGUCACCAGGGCUUGGCUCUGGACCCCCAAACCCGGGCAGCAGGAAGGUGGAAGGUUCUAGUUUCCAGCCUCACAUGGCCCGCAUCCAGCCAGCCCCGUUCCUCUGAGCCGCACCAGCCAGCCCUGUCUCAGCCACCCUCUGGGCAGGAGGCAGGAGAAGGCCA